ACUGAUCAAAUUGUUGUUCCUAACGUAAGUUCUUCAACUUACUUUCUAUUUGUUAAUUUCACUGCAUCUUUCUGGGUUUGUUUACUUGAUAAUACUGUAGUUAUUUUUUGUUUUGAGUGACCUCCAUUUGUUUGAAUUAAGUCCUCAGUUUAUUUUGUGCAUGUUUACGCACCUGUUUAUUUUUGGUCAUAGAGAAAGAGUCCAACGGUGUUUAUUGGGUUCUGUAAUUAAUCAAGUUUAAGCGAUUAUUAUUAUUAUUUUUAAUUUUGUUAUUUAAUUGGACAAGGCAGCUUUGGAUUCCUCUGCUUUCUGUAAGAAGCAAAAACAGUUUUGGCUUCUUUUGCCAAUUAAAUAAGAUGGGAAGUCACCUAUUUGGUUCAAGCAUUUAUCUGUUGAUUACCUGAUUUCAACUCACUGACAUAAAAGUCCUUGUUGACGUCUUCUGUUUUUUUCUUCUAAUUUAAGUGGAUCAAAGGACUAAUUUUAUGUCCCUCUUCACACUUGACUUGAUCAAUUGAGAGAGAAAUUAGAUAAGUUCAACUUAAUACUUAUGGUAAUCUAAUUGUAAAAUUAUUUUCUUUAAAAUAUUUAUUUUAUCCAAAAGUGUUCAAUUCAAGUUGCCUUCAUGAUAUUCAUCAUUUUUUUUUUUGUUUCUCAUUUCUUAUUUCUGAGUUUUCGUUUGAACAGACUGAUAUCAGUAAGACAGAGUGGCAGACAUGAGCAUUGGAUUACUCUGUUUUAGAUAUUAUGACUCGAAAAUCAAAAUAUCUCUUGCUACAUAAUUUUAGGAAAUUCAAAUCAAAUAAAGAACUUUAUAUUAAUAAUUGUAGUUGCAUUAUAUCUGGAGGAAUGUUUGAUGAGGAUUCAAUCCACCUACAAGUCUUUCUAAAACUACAGGCUUGCCGCUGUAAUACACCCAGAAGCUUCGAUGUGGUCCCUAAAACAUCAUAGAUUAUCCUAUACAAAUGCAUUGACUCCUUUGGUACUAAAAUUAGUCUCGAAAAAUGCCUGCAGACAGACAGCGUAUAUUAAUAAUUAAUGAAGUUACAUUUUGAUAUAAAAAAGACUUAACUUGGUGGUGUGAUGUAAUUUUUAGCCAUGAAUGCAUCUGCUUUGCAAACAAUAAUUAGAAUGGUUUAGCAGUAGUGGGAGGCUUUUGUAUGACAUGGCUAAAGCUUUUGAAAAAUUAACGGACUGAUAGAUUGGAGAACGUCAUGGAAAAACAAAGCUUUUGAGGGUCAAAAAAUAAAUAUUGAUAUUCAGUCUUAAUAAG
rnacentral:misc_RNA from 1 species